rnacentral:snRNA from 1 species
GUGCUCGUUCGACAGCACAUAUAAUUAAUAAUUGGAACGAUACAGAGAAGAUAGCAUGGCCCCUGCGAAAGGAUGACACACAAAUUUCGUGGAGCGUUCCCUCUUUUU